AUUGAACGCUGGCGGCAGGCUUAACACAUGCAAGUCGAGCGGGGAAGGGUAGCUUGCUACCUAACCUAGCGGCGGACGGGUGAGUAAUGCUUAGGAAUCUGCCAUUUAGUGGGGGACAACAUUCCGAAAGGAAUGCUAAUACCGCAUACGUCCUACGGGAGAAAGCAGGGGAUCUUCGGACCUUGCGCUAAAUGAUGAGCCUAAGUCGGGUUAGCUAGUUGGUGGGGUAAAGGCCUACCAAGGCGACGAUCUGUAGCGGGUCUGAGAGGAUGAUCCGCCACACUGGGACUAAGACACGGCCCAGACUCCUACGGGAGGCAGCAGUGGGGAAUAUUGGACAAUGGGCGGAAGCCUGAUCCAGCCAUGCCGCGUGUGUGAAGAAGGCCUUAUGGUUGUAAAGCACUUUAAGCGAGGAGGAGGCUACUUAGAUUAAUACUCUAGGAUAGUGGACGUUACUCGCAGAAUAAGCACCGGCUAACUCUGUGCCAGCCGCCGCCGUAA
rnacentral:rRNA from 1 species